GUGCAUGCUCAAGCUGGGUUCUCUCAGAACCUAGCACAGGACUGGUUAGCCUGUACAUUCCCUGGCAAUACUUACUGAUUAAUCUGUGGAUGCAUUCUGGGGGAGGCUAGAAUGUUCUAGGACAAUCUCAGAUAGUUAAGUAGACGUCUCAUUUAAUCCUCACACUAGCUGUGUGAUGUGAAUGGCCAGGCAGUGUUUGUCCUGAUUUGGAGAGGGAGAUGCGGAGAGGUCGAGUCGCUUACCAAGGCCUCACCACUAGUUGUUGGCAGAGAUGAC
rnacentral:lncRNA from 1 species